CAAAAAGUACUUUUUAGCAUCCUAAAAGCUUAGCCAAACAUGACUUUAUUAACUAUUGUUUAAUAUGUUAUAAAUAUUCGGGUCAGGUACGGUUCAGACUAACUUUGAUAUCAAAAUUUGAGUCCGGCCUAUUUAACAAACACGUUUCAAUUUCAUACCUGAUUUGGUUCUUCGGGCUUAAGAUUCAGACCCAAGCCUACUAAAAAACUUCAGGCUUGAGCAAGCGGGG
rnacentral:lncRNA from 1 species